rnacentral:rRNA from 1 species
GUGCCAGCCGCCGCGGUAAUACAUAGGGGUCAAGCGUUGUCCGGAUUUAUUGGGCGUAGGAGCUCGUAGGCGGUUCAACAAGUCGGUCGUAAAAGUUUAGGGCUCAACCCUAAAAAUGUCGAUCGAUACUGUUGUGACUAGGAUACGGUAGAGGUGAAUGGAAUUCCGAGUGUAGCAGUGGAAUGCGUAGAUAUUAUGAAGAAUACCAGUGGCGAAGGCGGCCUCCUGGAUCUGUACUGACACUGAGGUGCGAAAGCGUGGGUAGCGAACAGGAUUAGAUA